rnacentral:tRNA from 1 species
GGAGUGGGUAUAGCUCAGUGGUAGAGUGUGUGCUUAGCAUGCACAAGGUCCUGGGUUCAAUCCCCAGUGCCUCCA